ACCGUACUCGACGAAGUGAGUGACAACCACGUUUGAAUUCAUUUGAACAUUUGCGAUGAUACAAGCAAGUGCUAUUGCAUGGCUAUUGCAAGUAAAGUUAAAAUCGCUUUUGAGUUUAGUUUAUGUUACACUCUGUUAUUUUGUAAAAUUUACUUAGGAGUGUUCAAGUUUUCUGUGGUUAUUUAAAGUAUGCUUGACUUCUAUGUGAUUCACAUAGUUUCCUAUUAUGUCAACGCCAUGCUUGAUGCUUCCUAUUGUCUAUUGAACGUGAUAAUUCAGCUUUUGUAACUUCAUGAAACAACCUCUGGAGAUUUUCUCAGGUAGUGCAUCUACCUGUCUCAUGCUGUGAUAGGAAAAUUUAGAGGGCUUCCGAUGUGUGGCGGAGUCGAUCGUUUUUCGUAUCUCUAGUCAGCGACGUGUCCCACAGGAUGUCUAUUUUGUUGGUGGGAUGUUGGAUGACAGGUGCUUGCAGCUUGAUUUUCUGGAUUUCAUUCUGUGGAGGCUUAUGUGACCGGGUGGUGGCUAUCGUAUGUCAUUCAGGUGAUGGUGUGCAGCUCUCGAUUCUACAAUGUAGAAGUUUUUGAGGUAAUUACAAGUCUUGUGUCAAUAAAUUACUAUUCCGAUCGCCACGCCUCCUCCUCAAUCGAUGGGGAGGAAGGUGCCUAAAUUUCGAACGGGGAAAUUAUGGUCACGUAGGAAGCAACUGAGAUUGCAUUGAUCUUCAGUUUUACUGUAGGCCUACCUUAUGAUGCCGUGCCGUCGGAGUAUUAGUAAGGGGCAGGUUGCGAUGUGGUGCGUUCUGCAGCUGACGGCUUUGUUAAAGGUGGAUAUUCUCAGGUAAUAUGUACAGGUUUUGCUGGUUGUUGCGUUUGUUUCGUCUUGUUGCCGAACGUGGAUUUUUAUGUUAAAUUUGUAAAGGAUUGCCAGUUUUGGGAAUAGUGUGAUGAAAGAUUAGUAUUAGAGCAUUGGGUUCUGAAUUUCACAAUAAUUGUUAUUUCUGAUUAAUUGUCUUGAUCUUGCAUGGACGAACUGAGGAAGUAUUAAGUACAAAACUGGAGAAUGUUUUUUUUUGUGUGUAAGUUUUACGUAUACUGUAAAGUUGUUCAAUUUAGACUGGGGAAUUAUGUAAAUAGUAUCAACACUAAGUUCUCGUCUUGUAUCUCAUAGAAUUCCCUAUUGGUCUUAACCAGUGAAUAUUUGUCAUCUAGAUGGUUACCCUAGAAUUGUGAGAUGAGACUGGAGGAUUAUAGGAGAUGUACAACAAAGGCACAAAGGCGAUGAAAUGGUAUCAUCUUUCUAGUUUCAACUGACUAUUGUGAUGAUUAACAGACCUGUUCUGAUCGCUUUGAAGACUAAUUGUGUUACUUCUGAAUUUGUUAUAAUCAAUCAUGGAACAUCUAUUAUACAGUCUGUUAGCUUAGCUAUCUGAUUUCACAGUUCAGGUAACUAAGUAAACUACUUCAACUGAACUUAUUUCCGCAGUGAUGAUCGUUUUUUCUGAUUCGCACAAUGUUGCUUUCUGAAGUCAAUCAAAAUAUUAGACAUGCAUGACUCUGAGAAAAGCUAUUUGUUUUGUAUUGAAUUAAAUCUUGAUUCCUGUUAAUCCAUGCACUUUGAAAAAUUUAUACAGGUUUUAAUAAGAUGAGGAUCUUUUGGGGUUUCCCGUGAGAUUUCUGUAUUAUGUGAAGGUAUGUUAUAUGCGCAUUCUAGCAGUGUGUGCUAAUUUAAAAUGAUGACAUAAGAUUUCUGUGUCCAGGCCAAUGAUCAUUUGUGAUAUAAACUAUUUUGGUGACUACUGAUUUUUGGUUUAUUGAAAACCUAGUAGCUAUCUUCUGCAAAAUAUUUACUGUUUCUAUUUGGGUGUUAGGUUGUUUUUGGACAACAGCCUGCUGGAUUUUAGUAUUGCCAUUUACCUACGGUAUUGCUGCUGCAAAUAUUCUGGCGGCCGCGCAUCUGAAGGACUGAACUGUUACUGUACAAUAGCAAGCGAUAUUGUACAGCGUCUUCCUUUUGCAGGCGAGAAAGACGGCUAGACUAUGACGGCCCGUCAUAGUAAUUCAAGUAUUGGUCUUCUGGAAUUCCCUCAUCCUUAAUAUUCGUCCUUGGCUUAGCUGCCGUGUAAUAGUGGGAAGUUAACGUAUAGGUAAUCAAAACUUUGUGCGUUUGGAGGUUAACAUGAUGGAUUGUAAAUUUCUGACAUCUCUUCUGAGUUUAUCCGUUUAUCAUUGAAGAUAUCUUUACAGCUAAAUAUCUGAAUAAACUAAUGUAGUUUUAAAGUGAGGCUUUAGAUAAUGGUUCAAAAAUGCGUUUAGUUUCAGGGCAAUACUUCGCAGCUUCAUCUGGCACUACCUUACAGCUCGAUAUGCAUUCAGGUUGGUUGAAGUUUGUUGGCAUAACCCACUAAUUAAGCCGAUUGAUUAAGUCCUUAACUGGCAAUUCUUUGGUAUACGGUGGAACAGUAAAUGCUAUUCCGUGUAAGGUGUUCCACCCAUUGCUUGGUGUGAUAUCUAAGGGUUGAAUCAGCAAUAUUUUAAUUAUUAAUUUGAUGGAUGUUUUAUUUGUAGUUUUACCUAAUCCAAUAGUGUCUUAAUGUGUUCUGAGGGUGUGAUUCGUUGGUGGGGCGUUUUUUGAGCUGGUUGCUAAUAUUUUCAUUGAUCUCUUGAAAUAAAAUUGAAA